rnacentral:rRNA from 1 species
UACGUAGGGGGCAAGCGUUGUCCGGAAUCAUUGGGCGUAAAGCGCGUGUAGGCGGCCAGAAAAGUCCGCUGUGAAAACUCGAGGCUCAACUUCGAGCUGUCGGUGGAAACUUUCUGGCUAGAGUCCGGAAGAGGAGAAUGGAAUUCCUGGUGUAGCGGUGAAAUGCGCAGAUAUCAGGAAGAACCCCCGUGGCGAAGGCGGUUCUCUGGGACGGUACCGACGCUGAAAAGCGAAAGCGUGGGGAGCGAACAGG